UCCUUGAUAGCUCAGUUGGUAAAGAAUCUGCUUGCAAUGCAGGAGACCCUGGUUCGAUUCCUGGGUUGGGAA
rnacentral:tRNA from 1 species